GAUGAAGAACGCAGCGAAAUGGGAUAAGUAAUGUGAAUUGCAGAAUUCAGUGAAUCAUCGAAUCUUUGAACGCACAUUGCGCCCCCUGGUAUUCCGGGGGGCAUGCCUGUUCGAGCGUCAUUUCACCACUCAAGCCUCGCUUGGUAUUGGGCAACGCGGUCCGCCGCGUGCCUCAAAUCGACCGGCUGGGUCUUCUGUCCCCUAAGCGUUGUGGAAACUAUUCGCUAAAGGGUGUUCGGGAGGCUACGCCGUAAAACAACCCCAUUUCUAAGGUUGACCUCGGAUCAGGGAGGGAUACCCGCUGAACUUAAGCAUAUCAAUAAGCGGAGGA
rnacentral:misc_RNA from 1 species